AUACCCUAUUAUUUUAGAAUUAAAUUUUUAACUUGAGUAGUAUUAGAUAUGGGCUUGAAACUUAAAGAAUUUGGCGGUAUUUUAGUCUAGUUAGAGGAAUCUGUUUCAUUAUCGAUAAUCCACGAUGGACCUUACUUAAUUUAAUUUAAUAUGUAUAUCGCCGUUUAUUCGAAAAUCUUUUUAGGGUUAAUUUUCUAAAAAUUGUAGUUAAUUUUAUUUCAGGUCAAGGUGCAGUAGAUGGUUAAGUGGUAAUGGAUUACAUUAUUUAUAAAAUAUACGGAUUAAUAUUUGAAACCAUUUUAUGAAGGGGGAUUUAAUAGUAAUUAAUAACGAGAAUUGUUUUUAUGAUUGUAGCUCUAGAAUGUGCACACAUCGCCCGUCACUCUCGUUAUUAAGAUGAGAUAAGUC
rnacentral:rRNA from 1 species